rnacentral:hammerhead_ribozyme from 1 species
AUCCUGCUGACGAGUCCCAAACAGGACGAAAUGCUUUUCUCUGAU